rnacentral:rRNA from 1 species
GGUGCCAGCAGCCGCGGUAAUUCCAGCUCCAAUAGCGUACGUAAAGUUGCUGCAGUUAAAAAGCUCGUAGUUGAACGUUCGGGUCCGCGGGACGGGGCCGCCCCGCGAGGGACGGCGCCGCCCCGGGGCUCGUGAUAUCUUAUCUCGCCGCCCGUCGCGAGGCGGACGGAGGGAUGGAUGAGGUUACCUGGAAAAAAUCGGGGCGAUCUAGGCGGGCGAACCUCGCCAACGAACGAUCGGACAUGGGAUAACGGAAGAGGGCGUCGGCUCGACUUCGUCGGUUCCUCGGGCCGAGGCACGUACGGUGAAUAGGGACGGUCGGGGCCGCCCGUACCGGGUCGUGAGAGGUGAAAUUCUAGGAUCGACCCGAGACGAACUGCCGCGAAAGCAUUCGGCAAGGACGCUUUCAUUAAUCAAGAACGAAAGUCGGGGGGAUCGAAGACGAUCAGAUACCGUCGUAGUCCCGACCGUAAACGAUGCCGACCGAGGGCCCGGAGGAGUUACGUACGACCCUCCGGGCCCUCCCGCGAGAAAUCAGGAGUAUUCGGGUUCCGGGGGGAGUAUGGUCGCAAGGCCGAAACUUAAAGGAAUUGACGGAAGGGC